rnacentral:lncRNA from 1 species
UUAUCUAUAUUAUUCUUUGGGAAGAUCGAUUGUUGGAAAGAUUGACUACAAUUCCCCCUGAUCAUUGCUAAGGUCUGUUUCCCCAUCAAAGCCUCUGAAUCUGAAACAAGGCUUCAUGGAUUUUUUUGUUCUCCUUUGCUUUCUUGACCCCUUACCCAUUAACUUGCUCUGAACGCAGACCAACACAUUGACGGACGAGCGAUCGAGGUGCUGCAUGCCCUCGUCCAUGCCAAUCCAAUCCGACAAGGAGGCGCGACCGCCAUUGCUCCAUGACAGCGUGGGGCGACACCUUGAAGCUCUUGAUCUGGACCAUCUGGCCCGCCUUCUACCACAUCAUCUUGCAACACAAUAGGUCGUGCAUGUGCAUCUUGCCUCAUCUCUUGCUAUGGUUUUUCACACAUAUUUCUGAUUUCUAUCACCAACACAAGCAGGUCAUCACCCUGCGUUGGGGAGAAAGAGCCUACAACCCCGACUAUUAGAUUCGUGCUUCCUUUGUAUUGUUUCAGCACAUACUGUCAAAAUUGCUUUUUUGCAAUCCAAAUGCUUGAUUUGCUGCAAGCUGAUUGAAGUCAUGUGCCCGAUAAACAACAACAUUACGAAAAUUUAUUCAAGGUGCGGACAAGAAAUUUGUAUUACAGUUGAACCUUACCAUAUACUGUAUUAUGUUUAAUUCCCCUGAUGGUCAUGUUGUUUUCUUUCUUAACCUUCUCUGAUUAGUGUACUUACUGAAAUAAAUUAUUUCAGUAUAUGUUUGGUCACGAACUGAUCAUAC